UAGACUUCCUCGUGGAGUUUUUGACGGCGGCAACGGUUGGAGUUGCGAUUGAAAUGGCGGACGGUGGCGAUGGUUGAGGUAAGUCGUCGGUGAAGGUGGGUUGUAGAUCUGUGAGUUUUGUGGGUUUGUGAUAGCGGUUUUGACGGUGGAUGGUGAAUCGACAGUGAGGAAGAUGUGUGGAGGCGGAUCUUGGAUGGAGGGUGGAGUUCUCCGGAGUCGUGAAGGCGUUGUUGUUGGUGGGUGGAUCGGUGGUUUCACUUGUUGGAAGACGAAGGAGGCGAAGUGAAGGUUUGAGCGCGGUUGUGGGGUUGAUGGAAGAAGGCGGAGGCGAAGGUGGGUGAACGGUGAGGUUUUGUGGUUUGUGAUGAUGGAGGUGAGAUUUUUGGAUGGUGGUGUUUGGGUUUUGAAGGAGACGAAGAGUCUCCUCCUUUACUUCUCUUUCUCUUUUUUUCUUUUUUCAGCCUUUUUUACAGAGGGAUAAUGAGGCGUGUGAGGGAGUGUGAGGGAUUGUGAGAGUGAGAGGUAGUAACGGUGAAGAGAGACGUUGAGGAUUGUGAGGAGAGGCGCGUCAUGGGAAAUGAG
rnacentral:lncRNA from 1 species